UACGUAGGGUGCAAGCGUUAAUCGGAAUUACUGGGCGUAAAGCGUGCGCAGGCGGUUUUGUAAGUCUGACGUGAAAUCCCCGGGCUCAACCUGGGAACUGCAUUUGUGACUGUAGAGCUGGAGUACGGUAGAGGGGGAUGGAAUUCCGCGUGUAGCAGUGAAAUGCGUAGAUAUGCGGAGGAACACCGAUGGCGAAGGCAAUCCCCUGGACCUGUACUGACGCUCAUGCACGAAAGCGUGGGGAGCAAACAGG
rnacentral:rRNA from 1 species